UACGGAGGGUGCGAGCGUUGUCCGGAAUCACUGGGCGUAAAGGGCGCGUAGGUGGCGCGGGUAGUCGUCGGUGAAAGCUCAGGGCUCAACCCUGAGUCGGCCGGUGAUACUCCCGUGCUUGAGUGUGGUAGAGGCCAAUGGAAUUCCGGGUGUAGCGGUGGAAUGCGUAGAGAUCCGGAAGAACACCGGUGGCGAAGGCGGUUGGCUGGGCCACAACUGACACUGAGGAGCGAAAGCCAGGGGAGCAAACGGG
rnacentral:rRNA from 1 species